AAAAGUAAUUAAAAUUUUUUUUAAAAAGAAGCUGCUAACUUUUUUUUGAGCAUUUUGAAAUGUUCUACUUUUU
rnacentral:tRNA from 1 species